GCAAGUCGAACGAGAAUCAAUCCUUCGGGGUUGAGGAAAGUGGCGCACGGGUGCGUAACACGUGGGUAAUCAACCCUCUUGACUGGGACUACUCGGGGAAACUCGAGCUAAUACCGGAUGUCGCGUUCAGGACUUCGGGCCUGAACGUAAAAGGAGUAAUCCGCAAGAAGACGAGCUCGCGGCCCAUCAGCUAGUUGGAGAGGUAAUGGCUCACCAAGGCUAAGACGGGUAGCUGGUCUGAGAGGAUGAUC
rnacentral:rRNA from 1 species